CCCGUUAAUAAUAUAAAAUUUAAUAUCGAGCCAAAAUUAGCCGACGGAGUCUAAACGAAAGUUGUAGAUUACAUUCCCACCUUCGCGUGGAUAUAAAGAACGUCGAAAACGGAGGUCGUACGCGAAAGUUAUGAAUUUUUAAAGCUGGAAAGGGAACUUGCGAAACUGAUGCAUGAAGUGAUGACGUGGCCGAACUCCCAGCCGUCGGAUGAAACCGCUUCUGAUGAUGACACCUGGUGCGAGGGUUACGCCCAGCGUAGCGAAGAGACGCCUAGCGUCCGGAGUACGCCCCGCGUCCGAAGCUGGGUACGCGCAGCGUGCUUGAUCUGGUCCGGGUCCGAGAAUGGGUGCGAGCCAGCUGGUGCGAAGCUGGCAUCCUUAUCCGAGAGAACGCGCUGCGUAGCCGAGGAUUACGCCCCGCGUAGUCCGAGGCCUCGCAGCUAUAAAAAGGGGGCGAGGGUCUCCGGAUUUUUCACACUUUUUCAAACCAAUUUCUUUCUCUCUCUAAAAUUCUUUCUCUCUCUAAAGGGUUUUAACCCCCCUAAGCCCUAGUUAAACCCCUAGCACCCUAGGGAAGCCCCGAGGCUCCCGGAAUCCCGAGAAAAAGGAGUUUUUCGGUUUCGAAACGCUGCUCCAAUUAAGUCCCGGUUUUCGAUAAAAUUCGCUGUAAGUGUGCUACGCUUACGCAAAUUUUUAUAUAGCUUUCAAAUAAUUAUAGGAAUGUUAUUAGGUCCUUAAAAUAAUUAUUUGAGCUAUUAUUAUGAGUUAUAUUGAGCAUUAUUAACGCUUAAUAAUAGUCAGACUAAUUAAUUUGUCGCGGUUAUCGUUAAACUAAACCCUAGUGGUAUCGGUACUAGGUUUUAUCGAAGGAAUAUCGUUUUGAGAGUAUCGAAGCGCUGUCCGAGUGCUGAGUCACCACCUACUCAGGUGAGUGCAUAGUUACUUUCAGCUUACACAUAGAUAUGAAGUAUUUUAAGUGCUGUGUGUGUAUAUUAUCGGUAUAUUUGCUAUCUAUAUUGGAAGAACGUUUUAUACAUGUUUUCAGUGAUUCAAACUGUAUAAGUAUUUUAUAUCUACAUAAUGUGCGGGGUAAAACACGGGUAGAUAUAAUAGUUGCUGUGUGACAAAAUAAAAUAAUGAGAGGCCUCGUUAUAGCUGUUCUCGAUGAUCUAGUCAUCUAGCGGAGUAUAGAUGACAACCACGGACUAUUCNUAGCGGAGUAUAGAUGACGACCACGGACUAUUCUAGACAGUCCAGUGGAACACUAGCAGGCUCGCAACCUGUAGGUGUUUAUUUGAACUGUGUGUUUAACCGAACUGUAUGUUUAUUCGAACUGUGUGUUUAACUAGACUGUGUGUUUAUUCGAACUGUGUGUUUAUUCGAACUGUGUGAACUGUGUGCUCACCAGGUAUACUCCAUCCCAAUGAUAGUCCUUUGACUAGGUCCCUUGUGUUAGAUGUUUUAGGGACGUAAUGUGAGGAUAACGGGAAUGGGUAAUUGGGUUGAUUGUUUGAUGUUUAAAAAUAAUAAUUAUAUUAUUGUGGGUUGAAAACCCUAUGUACUCACCAGGUUUCCCAACCUGACCCACUCAGUUUAUGUAUAUCACAGGU
rnacentral:lncRNA from 1 species